rnacentral:miRNA from 1 species
UGAAGAUUUUAAGCAUUGAA